rnacentral:rRNA from 1 species
GACGAACGCUGGCGGCGUGCCUAAUACAUGCAAGUAGAACGCUGAAGAGAGGAGCUUGCUCUUCUUGGAUGAGUUGCGAACGGGUGAGUAACGCGUAGGUAACCUGCCUUGUAGCGGGGGAUAACUAUUGGAAACGAUAGCUAAUACCGCAUAACAAUGGAUGACACAUGUCAUUUAUUUGAAAGGGGCAAUUGCUCCACUACAAGAUGGACCUGCGUUGUAUUAGCUAGUAGGUGAGGUAAUGGCUCACCUAGGCGACGAUACAUAGCCGACCUGAGAGGGUGUUCGGCCACACUGGGACUGAGACACGGCCCAGACUCCUACGGGAGGCAGCAGUAGGGAAUCUUCGGCAAUAGGGGCAACCCUGACCGAGCAACGCCGCGUGAGUGAAGAAGGUUUUCGGAUCGUAAAGCUCUGUUGUAAGUCAAGAACGGGUGUGAGAGUGGAAAGUUCACACUGUGACGGUAGCUUACCAGAAAGGGACGGCUAACUACGUG